GAAGUUCAGGGACCAGUACUGUUUAUCUUCUGUACAGUAAAACUGAGUUUUGUGAACACAGAUUUGGUGUGAACGGUUUCUAAUGUGAGACCGUUCUAUCCACUAUCAGUUACGUGAAUGACAUAAAUUUUUAUGUCGCGUGAAUAGUGGGACAAAACAGGUUGAUAUUGGGAUUACUCCUACCAAAUUUUCUUUCGAAUUCUACCAAAAGUUCAAAACUGUGCAAGUCAAUUUAAAAAUUCCGCAGAAUUUAAAAAAAUGCUACUUAUACUUUCAAAAGUGGGGUACAAAUCUUACACCCAUCCACCAAGAGUUUACACUCUUUUCUUAAAUUUAUAAAAUUAAAAAAUAUUGAUCUUAUUAGUAUAAAAAUGUUGAUCUUUACAUGGAUAGAGAAAAAAAUAUUGAUCUUUAGUAGAUGGAUAGCGUUGAGAGUAAAAAAUAAUAAUAAUAAUAAUGAAAAAAUAUCGUUAUUUAGUAACUUAAUCUUUUGUAGGACAAUGAUAUAAGAGCAGAAAGUCUUAAGUUUGAAUUUUGUCGGACCUCUGGCCAGAUUUAAUUUAAUUUCAUUUAAUUCAAAUCCACAUUUUAAAUCUAUCGAAAAGUCUCGAGCCUAGAUUUGAGAGAAAGUGUUAAAAAUAAAAAAAAUACUAUUCUCUAAUAGCUUAAGAUUGUAAAAAAAUAUUAAGAAUAACUUAUUUCCUAUAAGAAUUUUUUAGUAUGAUUGUAAGGUAUUUAAUUUUUUACUCUUUUUAAAAAAAUGAAGCGAAAUCGUUCGAGAGUGAAAGUUUAUUUAAAUAAGAUAAGACGAUAUAGAAUUGAAAAAACCCUCAAAAAGAACCACACAGUACAUUGUUUUGCUAGGCAGAUCCCAAUUAGCUAGUUGAUCAGCUUACAUAGCAUUUCUGGAGAAGCGAGUAUUCCAUCCAAAAGAAAAAACGUUAUCAAUGAGAGUCUGAAGUGUUUUG
rnacentral:lncRNA from 1 species